GAAAACACCCCAGCUAGCAUCUCUGUCAUUUCUCCACCUGUACACAGGAAACCUCGGCAAGCUUGAUCAACAGUGGAGAGUGCUGGACACGCUUCAGUGGGAGAAUACAGAAGACUGCAAAACCGAACAGUUCUGGAUUGAAGUGAAAAAUCACAUAGAUGCGGCCGGUGACAAGGACUUUGCUGAGCUUGGAUCGUUUGCCCUCUCACUUCUGGCAUUGCCAUUCAGCAAAGCAGCUGUGGAACGCAUCUUCUCUGAGAUUAAUUUGAUCAAGACCAAAUUGUUCCAUUUCAAGGAGUUUUUCUCUUUUUUUACUGUAAGGCACCUUCUACAAGUCAAACAGAUGCCUGACUGGACACACCUGCAUGUCUGCCAAGAAGCAUUGCUGAGAGCUG
ensembl:lncRNA